UACGUAGGGUGCAAGCGCUGUCCGGAAUUAUUGGGCGUAAAGAGCUCGUAGGCGGUUUGUCGCGUCUGCUGUGAAAACUCGGGGCUUAACUCCGGGCCUGCAGUGGGUACGGGCAGACUAGAGUGCGGUAGGGGAGACUGGAAUUCCUGGUGUAGCGGUGAAAUGCGCAGAUAUCAGGAGGAACACCGGUGGCGAAGGCGGGUCUCUGGGCCGUAACUGACGCUGAGGAGCGAAAGCGUGGGGAGCGAACAGG
rnacentral:rRNA from 1 species